CAUUUAGUAAUAUUGUCUGAAGUUUAGUGUAAAAUUCUUGACUUUUUUUGUGUAUUUUAUUUUAUUUUUAGCCAUAAAUUUGCAAUCUUUGUUGCUGCUAUAUGCUUCUAUUUUUCUUUUCGUCAGUUUUCCUUUUACCUAUGAUGAAUUGCUUUUCUGCUGUUGUUUGUAAGUAUCCUCUUUCUCCUUUGUUCUUUUGCUUCUGGUUUUAUUCUCUAGUGUGCGAUGUUAAGUUUUAUUGGUAUUGCCGCAAUUGUUAUCAAGCAUGGUGAUGAUAACAAUUGCAGAAGUAGUGCUGCUUGCAUACUGUCAUGCAGAUUUAACUUUUCUCAAUCAUUUUCUUUUUAUAUAUCUGUGUAGGAUAGGAUGCAUAUGAAGACCAAUGCUGUGAUAAGGGUUCUCUCAUGCAAUGUAAUUCGGAAUCAAGGUUUCUAGUUGAAUACAGCUGCUGGUACCAUGUCUCCCUUUGAACAUGGCGAGUUUUUUGUUCUUGAUGAUGGUGGAGAGCUAAUCAGAGUUUAAAAUAUCCAGCAGCAGUGUGAUGUGGCCAUUUAAAAGCUUUAUUAGGUGUUGGAAGUUGGAACUUCAUAAGAAGAACCGAAACAUGAUUUUCAAUUAAUGAGAUGAUAUGAAGACAUUGGUGUGAUGCCAGUGGUGUCCUCCAAUUUGGCUGAAAGAAG